rnacentral:rRNA from 1 species
UACGAAGGGUGCAAGCGUUGUUCGGAAUUAUUGGGCGUAAAGCGCACGUAGGCGGCCUUGUAAGUCUCACUGUGAAAGUCCGGGGCUCAACCCCGGGAUGCCAGGGGAUACUGCGAGGCUGGAGACAAGCAGAGGUUGGUAGAAUUCCGCGUGUAGUGGUGAAAUGCGUAGAGAUGCGGAGGAAUACCAGUGGCGAAGGCGGCCUUCUGGGACUCAACUGACGCUGAAGCGCGAAAGCAUGGGGAGCGAACGGG